rnacentral:lncRNA from 1 species
GAUCGCUGGCGGUCGGCGGGCGCUCGAAGGAUCCAGACGAGGAAACAAAGGCCCAAAGAAGAGUUCCGCCCGGGACGGAACGUGGCAUAGCUCGCAACAGAACCCAGUCUCCGGAGAUCCCUCUCCUCUGCACCACUUGGACGUUCCACGGAGAGGCAGCGGUGCGCGGGGCGACGGGGAGCUGCCAGAGAAGUCAGUGGUGGGCAUGAGUGGGUGAGACGGGCCCACUGAGGUUUCUGGCAGUGGGGAGCCAUGGAAAGUUUCUGAACAGAGAAGCACUUAUUGGGAACUGUCAGAGCUAUGCUUCAGGAGAUGAAUCUGGCAACAACGUGGGUAGGAUGGACAGAUGAUGAUUGGUCAGUGAAGGAGGAGGGGAGUGAGGAGAGAGGGUUGUCAUGGAAGCCAAGUGAGAAGAGGAUUUAAUAGAGGAGGUGGAGGAGGUUGCUAACAGUGUCUGAUGCUGCAGAAAGCAGGUGGGGAUCAGAAGGGGUCUUUGGAAGCAGUGGCAAAACCACCAGUGACCUUUGAGAGAGGGAUGUUGGUGACUAGGCAGGGGCUGAACCCAGAUCAAAGUGGGAGGAGGAGCAACUGGAAGGUGAAAAAGCAGAGGCAGCAGGUAUCCUCUCUGCUUUUGAGAAGUUUGGUGGCGGACGGAAUGAGCAAGGUGGAUGAGAAGCUCGGAGAGGGUUAGCAAGACAGACCAAGAGGCUUAUUUUCUCCUUUUUCAUCGGAAAUCAAAAGCUACUGAGCAUCUUGUAGUCAGAAGGAAAAGAGCUAGUGGACAGUGAGGGAGUGGAGAAGCAAGUGUAAGAAGUGAAAUAGGGUGUCAUUUAUGGAGCAAGUCCUGGGUUGGGGGGCACUGAGGGUGGGAAGGGGUCAGCCUUGGAAAGGAGAAGACCCAUCUUUCUCUGAGCCUGGAGGGAAGGUGAAGAGAGUAGUGAAGGUGGAAGUUUUGGGGUGGAGUAGUGAAGGGGGAAGUUUAUAAUAAGGUCAUUGCAGUACAGUGGGAGCUGAAGUUAUCUGCAGAGAGAGGUUGGAAAGCGGCUUCAGACUUCACAAUUGAGAAGGCCAAAGGGAGUGUUAAGUGGGGUAUGACUACCAAGCUUCCAAAAUCUAUAGGGAGAAAGGAGCAAGCAUCAUCUGUGUGUCUUCAUAGGGAAAAGUCAGGACCAAUGGUCAUAUUUUUGGGGGAGGUAGAUUUCAGUUUAAUCUAGGCAAGACUGUUGAGGGAUCUUAGUUGACCGACAAUGGAUUGACCUCCCAGUCACUUUUCAGACUCAGGCUGCAAGCCCGUUCAUCAGGCAUGCUGUGCAUGGGCUUCUUGCCCUGGCAUGGAGCAUGGAUGCAAUGAGUUCCAUGUUCCCUCCUGGCCCUGAGACUUGAUAACUGCAGGAAUGACAGCCCACUUGAAGAGCAGGCAGUUGGGCUCACCUUUCUCACCCACCUCAGGACUGGAGGCAUGAGGUGGGGAGACUAGACGAGAUCAGCCCUGGGGAACGUACCAUCCCUAGGAAACUCUCCUCUGAGCCCUCCCUUGACUUCCACAGGUUCUUUCAGAGAGGCAGCUGUUGGGCUUGGAAAAGGCCCAAAGUCAAUACAGUAAUGACUUCCCCUCCUGGUCAUAUCCCAGGCCCCUCUGUGUCAUUCAGAAAUUGGCUAAUAAAGUUCACUUUGAUGUGAGAGGAGCCCUAUUAAGAAUUCCCCAAGAUUCCCCAAUCCCCUGAAAUCUGUCAAUAGGAGAAGAUAUGUUGGAGUGGCAUGCUGGAUGGGGGUCACCCCCUUUUGUGUCCCCAGUCCUUACCCUGGUGUCAGUUGAGGCUGAGAGCAAGGGGAGAGGAAAGGAGGAGGAAUCCCAUGAAGAAAGUAUGGCUGAAGCCUUAGCCAACCCCAAAGAGGACCCAGCUGGCAUGGCUACCCUCUUGCCCUAACCUGAGGCCAACCUCACCUCAGGCAGUGCUCCCAGGGUAGAUGGGAAGCCACAGCACCUAAUUACUAUGGUCAUCACGCUGGUGGCUGUGGUGAUUAUGAUGGUGCCUCUGUAUCCCACAGCGCUUAGCAACAUUUAAUUACUGUUAUUCCUAUGGAGAUCACUGCAGAGUCUUGGCUGCCAUUGCUCUUGGGGAUGGAGCAACUACACACAGCUGCACCCACUCCCCAGUCCAAUGAUCCACUGUGUUGAAGUGCUGCCAGGAUGGUUAACAGACACCAGCCUCUCCCUUGUGGGCCAUGGUGUCCCAGCGAUCUGCAUGGCUUUUGGGGCUGAGCUCUGAGAGGUGAUAGGAAGGCCCAAGUUCCAUCUUGAACCAUCUAACUCUCCAGAAAGAAGGGAAAUUGUUCUAUGCCUUGUGUCUGGUCAGAAGGCCCUCAGUAUACUUCUGUGAAUCAUGACGUCCCAAAUCCUAAAGAAUUCUGGUUGUGAGUAGAGGCGGCACUCCUGAUUAGGGAUGGGAGCACUUAAAACUCAACGGUGAUACUGAGAAGAGGGUUUCAUCCAGGAUCCGCAUAGACCGGAGAGCUUAGGUCAUGAAGAUGGGAAGGGACGGAGUGGAGCUUCUGUGUGGAGCAUGCCUUAUGUAGAAAGAUGAAAGGGAAAAGGGCUUUGAGAAAGGAAGAUACUCAACCUCCCACCCACACUUUCCUCCCUUUGAUGAUGCUCUUAUAUCCAGGGAUGGGUGUUAUGGUCAGGAUAAUUAUCAGGAUGGACUACUUGUCUAGAGGAACCAGAUUUUUCUUGCAAGUUAUGUGAAAACCAAGAAAUAGAAGGUAUUGUUAGGGAAGAGCAGAGUUCCUGGAUCAGCCCAACCCCAGCAGAAAAAGCUCAUGGUUGAUGCCUGCCUGGGAGUGGGGAGGUAAGGCUCGGGCUGUGGAGCUGUGGGUCUUGACUCUUUGGUCUCAGACCUUUUCGGGAUCUGAUGAGCGCUGUGUCCCUGAAAACUGCACAUACGCACAAGGACAGUGUUUGCAUGGCAACCUGCUGAAGCCCAGCUGGGGCCUUGAGUUAGGAAUCCCUGCUGAAGAAGGAGUGCUUUGGGAAGGAGGCAGCCCUGAGCCCAGACUCCCUGUGAUCUGGGCUAAUGACUGAUGCUAAUGACAUGGAGAACCCCAAAUGAGGAAAGUCCAACCCAGACCCUUCUAUAAUAUGAAGUGAAAAGAACAAGUAUUAUCCAUAGACUGCAUUAUAAUUCUGUAAAAAUAUACACUUAUAAAGAGAAAAAUGUGAAGGUGACAUGGAGAAAUGAAAAUAAUUUGUGGGUGAAGAGUUUUUAUUUUAUUUAAAAUUUACUUUAAUAUCAUUAUGAGGCUACUUUAAUAAUAGAUUUAAUUUUAUUUCUCUAUUAUGUAAAGUGCUUUUCCUGAAGAAAUGAGCUUUCAAAUUAUAUUUGAUUUAGGUUAAUAUUAAUGCCCUGUACAUCCUGAGUACAUGUUUCCAGAAAGAGGUGAUCCAGGAGGCUGCCAAGUGGCCUGCAGGUGACAUCCAGAGGGCAGAAAAUGCCCAUGCAGGUCCACGUGUGGGUCCUUAAGCCCCUUGAGGAAAAGGGAGGAGAAAAGGACAAAGAAGGCUCUCCCUUUCCCUUGGAUCCCCUUCUACUCCCACAUGCCUAGUGGGAGCCUCCCUCUUCUGCUUGAGCCUUCAGGACAGGUUCAGGACCCUGUCUCCUACCUGGCUGGGCCAGAAAUGAGGAACAUGUUGCAAGCCUUCCUCCACCUGACUUGCCAAGUCCAUACAGGCUGGGGCCUUAGAUCCAACAACUUAGAAAGGGUGCCCACACUCCUGUUCUUUAGAAGAAAGGGACGGCAGGAGUCUGAUCAUCUGUCCGAUGCCCACACAGUGGCUGUGCUGAGUGACGUGUUGUUUUGAGGAUGUCCCUACCCCCUGGUCUUGCCGUCGGUCUCCAGUACCCAGCGAAGCAAGCUGUGGGCUCUGAGGAGCUCACACCAGGGAGGAGCUGCCCUGGAGUGGAGCAACAGCAUGUCCUCUCCCCUGUGUGACUGCAGUGCUAUAAUAAUAAUAACAGAAAGCUGGCAUUUCUUGAGCUCUUACUGUGUGCCAGAGACACCGCUCUAAGUGCUUACACAUAUGUAUUCGUUUUCUGUAGUUGCUGUAACAAAUUAUCACAAACUUUAAACAUUGAACUUAUGGCAUAAAGCAACACAAAUGUAUUAUCGUGUAGCUCUGUGGUAGGUUAGGAGUCUGACACAAGUCUC